ACAGCUAUAGGUUAAUGGUAGACCGUUCGUCUUCCAAACGAAGUGCAUCGAUUCGAAUUCGGUUAGCUGUA